rnacentral:rRNA from 1 species
GACGAACGCUGGCGGCGUGCUUAACACAUGCAAGUCGAACGGGCCUUGUCCCCUUUUUUUUUGGGGGUGGGGUUAGUGGCGAACGGGUGAGUAACACGUGAGUAACCUGCCCCUCACUUCUGGAUAACCGCUUGAAAGGGUGGCUAAUACGGGGUGUUCUGGCCUGCUCGCAUGGGUGGGUUUGGAAAGAUUCGACCGGUUUGGUUGUUUUGGUGGGGGAUGGGCUCGCGGCCUAUCAGCUUGUUGGUGGGGUGAUGGCCUGCCAAGGCUUUGACGGGUAGCCGGCCUGAGAGGGUGGGCGGUCACACUGGGACUGAGACACGGCCCAGACUCCUACGGGAGGCAGCAGUGGGGAAUAUUGCACAAUGGGCGCAAGCCUGAUGCAGCGACGCCGCGUGAGGGAUGGAGGCCUUCGGGUUGUGAACCUCUUUCGCCAGUGAAGAAGGUCCUGCUCUUUGUGGUGGGGUUGACGGUAGCUGGGUUAAUGAAGCGCCGGCUAACUACGUG